UGGCUCAGGAUGAACGCUGGCGGUAUGCUUAACACAUGCAAGUCGAACGGAGUACUUUCGGGUACUUAGUGGCGAACGGGUGAGUAACGCGUGAGAAUCUGGCUUCAGGUCUAGGAUAACAACUGGAAACGGUUGCUAAUACUGGAUGUGCCGAGAGGUGAAAGGCUAGCUGCCUGAAGAUGAGCUCGCGUCUGAUUAGCUAGUUGGUGGGGUAAGAGCCUACCAAGGCGACGAUCAGUAGCUGGUCUGAGAGGAUGAUCAGCCACACUGGGACUGAGACACGGCCCAGACUCCUACGGGAGGCAGCAGUGGGGAAUUUUCCGCAAUGGGCGAAAGCCUGACGGAGCAAUACCGCGUGAGGGGAGACGGGCUUUUGGGGUUGUAAACCUCUUUUCUCUGGGGAAGAAGAUCUGACGGGUACCAGAGGGAAUCAGCAUCGGGCUAACUCCGUGCCAGCAGGCCCGCCGUACAC
rnacentral:rRNA from 1 species